UACGUAGGGUGCAAGCGUUAAUCGGAAUUACUGGGCGUAAAGCGUGUGCAGGCGGUUGUGCAAGACCGAUGUGAAGUCCCCGGGCUUAACCUGGGAAUGGCAUUGGUGACUGCACGGCUAGAGUGUGUCAGAGGGGGGUAGAAUUCCACGUGUAGCAGUGAAAUGCGUAGAGAUGUGGAGGAAUACCGAUGGCGAAGGCAGACCCCUGGGUCAAGAUUGAAGCUCAUGCACGAAAGCGUGGGGAGCAAACAGG
rnacentral:rRNA from 1 species